CCUACGGGCGGCAGCAGUGAGGAAUAUUGGUCAAUGGGCGCGAGCCUGAACCAGCCAAGCCGCGUGAGGGAAGACGGUCCUACGGAUCGUAAACCUCUUUUGUCGGGGAGCAAAAGACGCCACUCGUGGCGUUCCGAGAGUACCCGAAGAAAAAGCAUCGGCUAACUCCGUGCCAGCAGCCGCGGUAAUACGGAGGAUGCGAGCGUUAUCCGGAUUUAUUGGGUUUAAAGGGUGCGCAGGCGGAAGAUCAAGUCAGCGGUAAAAUUGAGGGGCUCAACCUCUUCGAGCCGUUGAAACUGGUGUUCUUGAGUGGGUGAGAAGUAUGCGGAAUGCGUGGUGUAGCGGUGAAAUGCAUAGAUAUCGCGCAGAACUCCGAUUGCGAAGGCAGCAUACCGGCGCUCAACUGACGCUCAUGCACGAAAGUGUGGGUAUCGAACAGGAUUAGAUACCCUUGUAGUC
rnacentral:rRNA from 1 species